AUACUUACCUAGUGCCGGGGCCUUGUUGACCACCGAGAACGAGUUCCCGGGGCGAGACAGGGGCAGUGCACUGCGCUCGCGUUGACCCCUGCCACUACCCCAAACUGGGGCAGAUGGGGCAUGGAAAUUGCUUAAAUCCGGUUCAACGCAAGAGAGUGCGCCACCGUC
rnacentral:snRNA from 1 species